ensembl:lncRNA
GUGGUGGCAGGGAGCCCUGUUGCAGGCAGUGAACUCCAAGCUGCUGCCUUACUGCUGAUGCAAAACCUCCACAGCAGGAUCCACAGAGCUGUGGGGGCCAUGUGGGCUGCUGAGAUCCCCCUGCUGCUGCAGUGCCUUGAAGGGAAAGAUGAGAGCUUCCCGGACUCUGCAGAGUGGGAGUGCUGUUUGCUGAAGGUACAGCAUUGCCAGGAGGUGUGGUACAGAGAAGUGCUUGCCUGCCUCAAGGAGCCCUGCUCCCUACAAGCCACCGCGGGACAGGAACAGCCUCUCAAACACUGCUGUGGAGUGGCUGCACGCCUUUGUGGCACUGCCUCUUCCUCUCUGUCCCAACCCCAAGAGGGGUCUUAGGAGAAGAGUGGCAGGAAGCCUUAAUGGAGGGAAUGCUAUGGGAGCUGGGAGAGGGACUGUUCUUCCAGGCACCUCUCCCCAGAAGGCUGCAGUGAUUUGGGAAUGAGGGAAGAGGCAGAGGGCAAGGGAACAUUGGCUUCUCCUGUUCUCCAGCAAUUCCUGAGGGCAUUGCUGGAGACCAUAGAGGACGAGGCCUGGACCGAGGCCCUGAGCUGUGAGCUGAGCAGGUGGCUGAGCUGCUCUCCCAGCAGCUCUGGAGAAAAGGUGGGCUCCCCCCCAGCUCUACCCAGCAGUCACCCAUGCAGUCUUUCCUGUAUAAGGCUCUGGGGACGGCACUGGGAGCUUGUAAAGGAGUCCUCCACAUCCAAGAGAAGCUGCUGCAGCACCUGGAGGAAACAAAUGCGGAGGAGCCAUCCAAGGCCCAGAUGGAGCUGGACAGCACGAGAGCUCAUGCCACACGCAGCUCUCUAAUCCUCGCCCAUGGCAGCUUAGCACUGCGUGCCUCCAAGGAACAGCUGCUUGCCUGCCUGGAAGGAGACAUCAUGGGCGACAUCCUGCUGCUCUACAGCUGCAGCUGCCGGGACUUGCUGAAGAAGUAUUACUUGGGCAUCCCUGUCUCCCAAGUGCCCCUCAGGGUGGUUCUGGCCCUGGAGCAGUUGAGGUAAGGUCUGGGGUUGCAAGGCAGGAUGGUGAUCCCCAUUUUGGGUAGCUCCUGAAGGCCUGAAAGGGGCAGGGCAUGAGGAGCCACAUAUUCAGGAGACGGGGCACACUGCUGGCUCGCAGCCAGCCUGCUGUCCACUGGGACACCCAGGUCCCUCUCUGCAGAGCUCCUCUCCUGCAGGUCAGCUCCCAGUGCAAAAAAUAUGCAGCUGUGCUUUCUGUUUUGAUACAGGAAUCAGAGAAUAGGUUUCAUGACUGCCAAAAAUUCAUCCAAUUUUUGUUUCAUUGUGGCUCCAUUUUCCAUUGACAUAAAUGCUUUACUGGCCAAUUUUCAAAUGGAACACGUAGAGCUGCAAUCUAAAGUCUGAUCUCUUCAUUAAACAAUAAAAAAAAUAAGUUUUUUACUUAUUAUAUUAUAUGAUGCAUUUUCUGAGGGCUGCUCAGAAUCAUAGAAUGUCCUGGGUUGGAAAGGACCUCAAAGAUCACCUAGUUACAAUUCCCCUGCUGUUGGUAGGGUCACCAGCUACUACACCAGAGUCACAUCCAGCCUGGCCUUGAAUGCCUCCAUGGAUGGGGCAUACACAACCUCCUUGGGAAUGAAAUGAAAGAAGAACGUGAUAGCUAUGAAUUUCUUAUUUCUGAAGUGCAUGAAUAUAAGAGGGGAAGUUUUAUUUUUUUCCUUCCUUAUAAAAUCUAGAUACUCACUCAAAGGAAAUUAAGUCCACAGCAGUGUAUCUAUUAAGGCUAGAGAUACAAAAAGGCUCUUCAUUUUGAAGCGAAGUCUGAGAAACAAGGCAUAAUCUGACUUUCUUCUGUCGUGCAGAGUUUUACUGAUCAAACACAAGAUGAUUGAUCCUCUCUGAUUGCUCAUUGAAUUUAGGAAAAUAAAGAAAUGAGGAUCAGAUGAGGAAGUGUUGAGGCAGGAAUUGGCAACACUUAUGUAUUAGACCUCAUUUUCAUCAGAAUAAAAACUGCUUAAAUAUGUGCAUUUCUAUUGUUAGAAAGAAAAAACAGUCAAUGCAGAAUAUUAAUUCCAGGAAGCUAAUCUACGUCCAGGGAAUAAAGGAAUUGUUGAAUUUCUAAUGCAGAGAUAUUACUAAUUUUGCAAGAACUUUCUCUAGAUAAAAAUUAGGUCUUGUAGCUGACCUGUGGUCUCUUCACUAGCCCUCAUCUCCAGACUCACAAGCCCAACUAACCUCCAGUUUUUGUCUCUUAUCAGUCCUUUGGAAGUUCUACUAUGAUCUUUUGCUCAACAUGUCUAAGAUCACCUCUGUCUUCCUCCUCCAUAACUCCUUUUCUCAGGAGCAUAUGGAUGGCUGAUACUCCUGAUACUUGCCAACUGCUCCAAGCCACUUUCUUAUUUGAGGCUCCCACUCCCAGUUUUAUUUCAAAAUCAUAGGCUCUGCUUGCAGAAUUUCUCUUAAUCUGGCUUCUGCUCUUCCUUCUCAGCAGCUACAGUAACGUUCCUUUUGCUCUUGCACUCCCAGUCUUGUUGUGACUCUAUACACAUAGAAAUGGUGUUGCAAAAAAUAAUUUUUCCCAUGCUUGAUGUUGUUGCCCACUGUUUGUGUCUGCCAGGUUGCAGAGCCCCAAGGUGAGGCUGGGGCAUCGUGUUGCUGACUGCAAGGUUUGAGAAUUGUCUGGAAUUGAAAUAGAGCUCCUGAACAAGGGGCCAAAGCCAAAGGUAGAGAAUGGCAUUUUAGACCACAGUUUCAAGGUUACUCUUGGCCUAUCUCACUCCUGCGUUGCCUCUCACUGAGAAUUCAGAAACUUCUUUAUUUCAACUUUCAUGCUUUCAAAUGAUACUCUUUGCCUACGUGACCUUGCAUACUUGGGAUGCUCUCUCUCUGCACCAAGUCACAGCAUAUUCUCCUAAAAAUUCCUCCUUAAUAUUCUCUUGAAUUUGAUGAAUACAGAAGUGUUUGAUGGAUUUUGGGUUACCAACAUGCCAGCAUUACUGCGUGAUACUCUGACUGAUACUGAUUCAUUUUAUCUUAGUAUUCUCCAGACUAUCUACAUUUCUGUAUUAUCACUUGUCCUGCAUUACCAAGUCACUGGGCUAAAUCUCAGCAUUUUUCUGUCUUUUUUUUUUUUUUUUUUUUUUUUUAUAGUAUUUAUCACUGUAGAGGCUUCCUCUGUGAUUACUGGUCUUAAACAUCAAAGGUAUAUAAAUAAAUAAUGCUUUGUUGCAAAUUCUAGCAAAGCAGCUCUUUGAAUGAAAGCUUGAAAUACAGGCAGGUCAUCAGUGAUCCAGCUCUGACUGUCAGCUUUCCCAUUUCAAACAGGUAAUGUUCAGACGUGGUUUAUAUGCCUGUGAUUCUUCAAAAUGACACAACUGUGGAGUUUUAUGCACCUCUUACUCCUACUUAUCUUCCAGUCUGAUAAUCAUGGUGCAGUAGCCAAAAACAUUGAUAGCACUUAGGAAGAAGAGCUGAGACUGAGUCAAGUGUCAAGUAAAUACACUGAAAGAAAUUCUAAUGUCUGCAAGUCACUGAAAAUCUCAUAAUUAAGUACAGUGAAGAUGAGAUUUCACUUACAGAGAUUCAAGCCAAAAACACUGUGAAAAAUUACAGUUGAGAAAGGAUGAAUUAGCCAAAGGUGUCACUGAAAAGGAGAUUACAUCAGCUGCCCUUCUGGAACUUAAUUAAAAAAACUACAUUUCCAAAUGCCUUGUACCAAGGAGUGCUUUGGAGCCAUUUGGAGGCUAGAGGCUGGAGUAGAGUAAUGGGGCAAAAUGUAUUUAAAAGUACCUGUGUUCAGUCAAAGUCCCAUUUUUCAAAAGCUCAAGUCCUUGGAUGCCUAUCUUACAUGGGCAUCUUGGGGAGUCAGAAGCAUGGGCACUUUCGGAAAACAUUGCCUGGUUCCUACUUAAAAAACUAACCCUUUGCUAGACAACUCUCAGUGGAAAACAAUCUUAAGGCACUUCGGAAAAGUUCUCCUUAAGUUUCUUUAUGGCCUAAAAAAGUGUCUGGGGAGGAAACAUUACAGAGAAUUACUGUGAGAAUUAUUUUGCACAGCUAUUCAGAGAUCUGGUCACAGAAAGGUAUACUUGAGAACUGCCAAAAGAACUCCAGUUCACCACCUGCACUGACCAGGUCUGCACAAUUUUUGUGCAGGGAAAGUUAAUCUGGAAGUCCAGUGUUGGUGUUCUUGGCUGUGAUUGGCUCACAGGUCCAUUGUUGGCUGCAUUAACCCACUGUAUUACUUCAUUGGUAAUUCUAUCUUGGUGUUAAUUCUGUCAGUUCACUUUAAAAUUCCUUGUGGUAUGAAAUCCAGGUGCAUGCUGUAGCAGAGCAGUGCAGUAAUGAGAGGUCUUUAAAGGUAAUUGCAUACUCUACUAUGUUCUGGAAUUACUGUCUUGGGGCUUCCCAAUCAUUCUACAGUCUUCAUAUGCAGUAUUUAUUAUAGUAUUUGGUUUAAGAUAAGACACUAAUAGGUUACAUAUGUUUGAUUAAGGAGCUGAUGAGAGUUCUAGGGGAAAAUCAGGUUUGAAGAUCUGGAGGAUUAUUAAUAUUUAAGGUCUUCAGAUACUCUCUUGCUGGCUCAUGAAAAUGUCAUUGAAACACAUUGUCUCACUCUGUUAUUCAUUUCCUUGAUAAGAAUUCAUCCCUGAAUAAAGGCUAGCUAGAAACUGAGAAAAGCCUGAAAUGAUCCCUCUUGUUUUAGAUUAAGACCCUGUAGACAAAUCUUCAAGAGUAAGCAACUGUGGAAAUCCUUGGUAAAAUGUAAAUCUCCUUGCCAAUGGCUGCUCUGGGCUCCCAGGCAGGCCAAGCUCCCUGGCACCAUCAGGCCCUGUGGGUUCUGGCCAUGGGGCAAGGGUCAUUAGCACUGCUGGGGAAGAGAGGACACCUGGGAGAGGUGAGCUGCUGCCAGGCAUGGAUAGAUAUCUGGCAGGGCAGGGGUUUUCAUGAGGUCUGCUCCAAACAUCACUUGAGAGCUUGUAGCACUGAGUUAACUUGCUUGACUAUUAUAUUAAAAGGCUUUUUAUGCUAUCUUUAUGAAAAUACUUGUUUCUUGCUACUGAACAUCAAAUACCUGCUACAGCCUCUUUCUUCUGCCUGGGCUUUCUGAGGGGAGCUUUUUUAACUCGCUGCUGCCCUAAUCCCUCAUUUUCCUUCUCCAUCAGCCUCAGAUUCCAGGCAGAGCUGAGGCACAGAGUAGCCAUCGUUUGUGUCCACAGGUACUAGGAAAUCAUUACACGAUUUCUGACUGCCUCAGCUCCUCGCCCUUGUUGUGCCUGGGGAAGAAAAUAUGGCAGAAAAAGUGAUGAAUGUGUGCAUGGCUUUGAACUGGAAAGCCAAAGGUAUCCUUGCAUUUGCUGCUGCUUUAAUUUAUCACUUCCCUGCACAGCAGCAAGUACAUUUCUAAAUAUUCACAGCUGGGCUACAGAUACACCUGGUAUGGAAGGUGUAACAUUUAUUCAAACAAGCCCCAGUUUCCACCCCCUCUUCACUACAAAUGUGCUCAUCAGUGAGCUCAGGUAGACUUGGGCCUGAAGCACUGACCAGAUAGAUACCCCAGCAGAAACUGAACCGUGUCCAACAACAGCUGGAUAUUUCUUAUUUGCAUCUGCUUUUUAACUUGUUUGCGGUUUGUUUUUGGCUCAGAUGAAUUAUUCCGACUUUCCUUUCUCUGGAGAAACAUCCAUUGACAGCAGUGACAUCUUGCUUGAAGGAAGAUGGUGCUGAACAGAAAUCACAGCUGCUGUGGGAAAUGGUAUGUUACCGUGCCCAGCUGCUGUUUGCAGCCAACGAGCUAUUUCUGAGCAGGUUUCUAGUUUUAGACCAACGGGAACCUGUGAUUAUCAAAGAAGUUGUGAGAACCUCUUGAAUGCCCCAUCCCUGGAAGUCUUUAAGAACCGGUUGGAUGGGGCCCUGGGAAACAUGAUCUAGUGGAAGGUGUCCUUACCCAUGGCAGAGAAACUAGGUUACCUUUAAAGUUUCCUUUGAACACAAAGCAUUCCAUGAUUCUAUGAAUUUAGCCAUUACUGGGAGCUGUGAAAAUUUCACCAAGGAUACAAAAUUGCCAUGAAAAGAUCUAUGUAUUUUCUAACUUCCAAAUACGAAGUUACUCCACAUGCAUUUAAUCACUGUGUAUUUCUGUGUGUACGUUGUGAGCCCUGGGAAAACGUCCAGCAACCGAAGGAAAAACCGAAGGUUAAAUGAGAUCAAGUAACAAUGCUUUGGCUUUGGACAUGGAACAUGAAGAAGAGUUCCCACAACUGAAGUGGUUCAUGUGACAAGUGUCAAGUUUACACAACAAUAGAGGAAUGUCAUGCACAACUGUCAUCUGGAGCCUUCUUUGUGAAUAGAAUUUGCAUUUUGUCAUGGUAUCAACGUCCCAGUCUCCACUGUGCCUGAGAAUCAGGAACCUCAAAUUGUCCCUUGCAUGGCAGCAGCUAAUCAAGUUUUGAAGCUGACUGGAGAUCUCCCAGGAAGGAGAAGAGGGAGCAGGAAGAAGAGCAAUUUUGUGCAUGGAUGGUAAAAGUUGCCAGAUGAAGAAAUAUGCAUUCUGGAACUGCAGUAAGACCUGGUAUUUGCUCACCAACACCUUAUGGCUGAACACAUGAAUAAUGAGUGCAACAAUGCUGGCAGUAACUCAAAUGGAAACUGGGACUUACGGUAGAAGGAAAAAGAAUUACAAAAAAUAAAAAUAAAAUCAAAGGAUAAAAGAGUUAAAAAAGAUAAAAAGUUUUAAAAGAUAAAAGAGUUCCUGACCUCUAAGAACACUGCAAAAGGAAGCAUGGAUGCAGAACAUUGCUCUGAGCUGUAAAGUGCUCCCCUGCAACCUCCUGCGCCACACCAAACAAGUCAUGAUCAUCAGUAUGUUGGAGACCUGUACUUGUUCAUUUAUUUUCAUCAGCUGCAAAUAUUAGGAAGAGACAGUUGCCAGAGAGGAGUUGCUCGACAGAAAAGUCAGAAAAUUCAGAAAAUGAACAUCUCAGAGCCCAAACCAUGCAAACAAAUCAGUGGCCUCGUCUUCUAUUCAAGCUAUCUCCAUUUCAUCUGUAACAUAGAGUUUGCUAGCUCUUAUUGUCACUUUCAGGCUCUCCUGUCCCAACUUAAUGUAAUAAUAAAAACAGGUACUUUUUAGUCUAUUUAAAUGGCAUUUAAAAUAUUUAUAUUGCUCUUUCAAAGAAAAAUAAACUAAAUUUUGGUCAAAACUAUUAUAAUGAUGAUAUAUUAAUCUUGGAAACUGCCAUCUGUUGUAAUUUACUUUGUGCUUUGACACUACUUUCACUGUGAAACUGUCUUCAUUGCCAAAAGCAAAAUAUCAUUAAAUACUCAUACUUUUCUUGUGUUCUUUUUUUAAACUAAAUUUUGCAUUCAAUUUAGAUUCAUGCUACACUGACAUUUCAAAGCGGAAGAUGUUCAGAG